CAUCCAGUGUAGCAUAUGCUGGAGAGACUGAGAGGAAUAAAUCAGGGUCUGGCCAACAAGGAGUUCCCAUCUUAAAUCUAGAAGAUUUGAUGCAGAAAAGAAGGGUGACAGAAGGAAAACAGCAAGAGGGGAACCCACACAGACUUAAGAGAACCUGUACAUUUGGAACCUUGGGAAGCAAGAAACUCAGCUACCACACUGGAGAUACCAUAUUGAGAAACUAUGUGAAGAUAAAGAAAACCAAAAAAAAAACAGAUUUUCUAACAUGAGAAUUUGUGUCUUCCCAAUCUAAGCAUCAGACAUACCACUGAGCAGGAAAUUCUCAGGAUCUCAGUUCAGUCUGUCAGCGACCUUAGCUGAGAAUGAUUUUCUUCACCAAAGGUCAAGGAAAGAAUUAAAGCUACCCCUAGCAGAUGUAGUCAUGUAGGAAACUGGUUGGAACUAAGAGCACCCAGAAGGGAUGGAGAUUUUAAUGCUUUAUAUAGCAAGGUAAGAUCUUGACUAUUGAUGAAUUCUUGUGCUUUUCUUUCUAUCCUGAAAUAUUUUCUAUUUUUCAUUCCCAUUGUCCUCAGCCUGGCUGCACACAAAAAAAAUCAUCUGGAAAGCUUUUUAAAAAUGCUGACUCCUGUACCCUACCUCAGCCACUGCGGUAGCUGAAAGUAGGAGAGUCAGAAUAAAAUGAUGGGGUCAUGUCACAAACACAGGAGCCAGUUUGACCAAAUCAGGGUCUCUGAGGGUGGAGCCUACGCACUGUUAGUUGUGCAAACUCUCAAGGUGAGUCCAAGGUUUAUUCAUUGUUUGGUACCAGUGUAGUCGGAGGGCUCACUUGGUGUAAAUGGGCAUCACCUGAGCAUGGUGGUUGCUGGUGAAAAUGAGCACAGAGCACGCUGGUGUGUUGCUAGAAGGAUACCUGAGGUUGUGGUUGGUCCCAGGAGAAAAAUGGACUGUAAAUAAUGCUACUAUGAGUAACCUAUGGUGUGCAUAUUUUUGUAUUACUAAAGGUGUGCUCAUGAGUAU